UGGGGAAUUUUGCACAAUGGGGGAAACCCUGAUGCAGCGACGCCGCGUGAUUUAGAAGGCCUUCGGGUUGUAAAAAUCUUUUCUAUGGGAAGAAAAUGACAGUACCAUAGGAAUAAGGACCGGCUAAUUACGUGCCAGCAGCCGCGGUAAUACGUAAGGUCCGAGCGUUGUCCGGAAUCAUUGGGCGUAAAGGGUACGUAGGCGGUUUAAUAAGUCGAAUGUUAAAGAUCGGGGCUCAACCCCGUAAAGCAUUGGAAACUGAUAAACUUGAGUAGUGGAGAGGAAAGUGGAAUUCCUAGUGUAGUGGUGAAAUACGUAGAUAUUAGGAGGAAUACCAGUAGCGAAGGCGACUUUCUGGACACAAACUGACGCUGAGGUACGAAAGCGUGGGGAGCAAACAGG
rnacentral:rRNA from 1 species